rnacentral:rRNA from 1 species
AACGAACGCUGGCGGCAGGCUUAACACAUGCAAGUCGAACGCCCCGCAAGGGGAGUGGCGCACGGGUGAGUAACGCGUGGAUAUCUGCCUUUUGGUCCGGAAUAACCCCGGGAAACUGGGGCUAAUACCGGAUGGUUCCUACGGGAUAAAGAUUUAUCGCCAAAAGAUGAGUCCGCGUACGAUUAGCUAGUUGGUGAGGUAAUGGCUCACCAAGGCGACGAUCGUUAGCUGGUCUGAGAGGACGAUCAGCCACACUGGGACUGAGACACGGCCCAGACUCCUACGGGAGACAGCGGUGGGGAAUAUUGGACAAUGGGGGCAACCCUGAUCCAGCCAUGCCGCGUGAGUGAUGAAGGCCUUCGGGUUGUAAAGCUCUUUUGGCGGGGACGAUGAUGACGGUACCCGCAGAAUAAGCCCCGGCUAACUUCGUGCCAGCAGCCGCGGUAA